GACGAACGCUGGCGGCGUGCUUAACACAUGCAAGUCGAACGAUGAAGAAAAGAAUCGAAGCUUCGGCAGAAAUUCAUUUCGGAUUAGUGGCAGACGGGUGAGUAACGCGUGAGCAACCUACCUCUUACAAAGGGAUAGCCUCGGGAAACCGGGAUUAAUACCAUAUAACAUUGCGACGAAGCAUUUCGAUGCAAUCAAAGCUACGGCGGUAAGAGAUGGGCUCGCGUCCCAUUAACCGGAUGGUGAGGUAACGGCUCACCAUAGUGACGAUGGGUAACCGGGAUGGGAGGGUGAACGGUCACACUGGAACUGAGACACGGUCCAGACUCCUACGGGAGGCAGCAGUGGGGAAUAUUGCAGAAUGGAGGGAACUCUGAUGCAGCGACGCCGCGUGAGUGAUGAAGGAAUUCGUAUCGUAAAACUCUGUUCUAUGGGAAGAAAAGGACUGUACCAUAGGAGAAAGCUCCGGCUAAAUACGUG
rnacentral:rRNA from 1 species